GUGGGAGUCUGUUCCUCUGGAGCAGAGGCAUGGCUUCAGCUGCAACUACAGCCUCUAGUCCAGAUUGAAGAGGAAAUCCUGAGGUUGUAGUUACGGCUGUGGUACCAGUUGAGUGGUUUGUCUGGACUGUACAGGAUCCACAUGGAAGGAGUCCUGCUGGUCCAACGGCUGUAGAGGGCAUCGAUUCAGUGGACACCAUCCUGCUGUGCUCACUGUCCUGAUACUGCUGACCUGCCUACAUUGGAGACAGAGGAUAAAGCAGAAACUCUGACCCCGCACAUAGUAGCCUGUCAACCUGGAACUCCGAGACUAAAUACACCACAGUCUUUUUCACUGAGGGGGUAGGUACUUUUGAAUGCCAGAUAGCAAAAUGGGACUGUGCACUACAAAAUGGAAAAACACAGAUCCACUACACAUAUCUGUAGACAAAUGCUCUCGUUGAAGAUCUCUGGAAGUCAAAAGAAACUACACAGAGUAGGACUCAUUUUGUGAAAGUAUUAUUUUCAUUGAUUACUCUGUGUUGCACUUUAAUGCUAUUGUUAGUCUAACCAAUAUUACAUGUUUAAAGUUAUUAUUAUAAUUUCAAAUACAGCCCCAUUGUCCCCACUCACCCAGUAGGGGGCAGAAACCUAUUGAUUUUGAAUGCACAAUGAACAAAAAUAUAAAUGCAACAUGUAAAAAAAGGGUUGGUCCCGUGUUUCAUGAUCAGAAUUUUUUUUAUUAUUUCUUUCAAUUAUUUUGCACAUCGGUGUUAGUGAGUGUCUCCUUUGACAAGAUAAUUCAUUCACCUGACAGGUGUUGCAUAUCAAGAGGGGGGGGGGCUGAGGAGUAUUUCUGUCUGUGUAAUAAAUCGGAUUUUAUUUGUCACAUGCGCCGAAUACAACAGGUGUAGGUAGACCUUACAGUGAAAUGCUUACUUACAAGCCCUUAAUCAACAAUGCAAUUUUAAGAAAAAUACCCCCCCCCCAAAAAAAGGCAUAAAAGUAACAAAUAAUUAAAGAGCAGCAGUAAAAUAAGGCCCUAUUGUGGGGAAAACGAAUUCUCAUUGGCUGGGCCUGGCUCCCCAUUGGGUGGG